rnacentral:pre_miRNA from 1 species
AGCGGAAUUUCUGGAUAAUAUGGUAAGUCCAUGUUUAACUUCAUGAGGAACUGCCAAACUCUUUUCCAAAGUGGCUGCAUUAUCUUAUAAUUCCACCAGUAAU